rnacentral:tRNA from 1 species
GCCUACUUGGUCUAGUCGCUAUGAUUCCCGCUUUGGGCCACCAAAGUUGCGGGAGGUCCCAGGUUCAAAUCCUGGAGUGGGCC